UGCUAGUACUUAAGUUUCCUCAACUUAAUUUGAAGGUUACGUUCAUAUCAAUUUAUGAUAUAUGAACAGGUGAAGGCGCCCUUUACUAGGGCUGUUAACGAGCCGAGUCAAGCCGAGCAGGGCCUAGCUCGAGCUCGGCUCGGCUCGGCUCGAGCUCGAAUUAUAAAUCGAGCUGAGGUUUAGGGCUCGAGCUCGACUCGAUUAUAAAUUCGAGCCGGCUCGAUUUAGCUCGAUCCAAUCAAGAACAGUUAAGUUGACAAGUAUAUAAGCACUCAUACAUGAUUUGAUUGCAACGUAAUUAAGCCAAAGACUUAAAUAUGUAACUUUUUUUGGCCUAAGAAUAAAAUAUGUAAGUAUAACUUAUUAUUCUUUUGUUGGUUUCACCUUGAUUUUUAUAGGGGAGGUGUUCCCUCAGUGUUUGUGUUCUCUGCGAUGUGAGACAAAAGUGAUUGUAGGAUAAUCAAAGUUUAUGUAUUAGAAUCAUAUUAUUAGUUAUUUAUUGAUACUGAUAAUGUAUGUUUCAGAAUCAUAUUAUUAGUUCUUAUCAGUUCUUUAUUUGAUCUCAGUUACAUCAUCUGCAAAACACAUACACAUAGUUGGAUAGUCAAAGUGUACACAUCAGAAUCAUAUAAGAAUCCACUAGAUUCGUAAUUGUAAGAACUAACUAAAUAUUGAGAUUUGAAUAUAUAUAAGCUAACAAAUUCACAAUAUUAUGUCUAUUAAAACUAAUAUAUUAAAAAUAAAAUAAUUCGAGCCGGCUCACGAGCCGAGCCAGGCCUAGCUCGGGCUCGGCUCGUUUUCAAACCUAGCCGAGCCGAGCUGAACCGAGCCGAGCCGAGCUGGCUCGUUUACAACCGAGCCAAUUUCAAGCCGAGCUUUUUUUGAGUUUUUUUCGAGCGAACUUCGAGCAAGCCGCGAGCUUUUUGAACACCCCUACCCUUUACAAAGCUACUCGCGAGCUACUCGAGCUCGGCUUGAAAAAAGCUUGAACGAGCUUAAACGAGCCCGAGUCUAAAAAACAAGCUACUUUAGUAAACGAGCCCAUGCCCGGGCUUCACUUAUUGAGCUCGAGCAGGCUUGCAAACCUAAACGAGCCUAUUGUUUAUAUAAAUUUUUAUUACUAUAUUAAAUAUAUAUUCAAAUAAUAAUAAAUUUAUGAAAAAAUAACUAAGUGCUUCUUUUAAUCAUGAUUAUUCAUGAAUAUUGAAGUUGACUACCAAGGUUUUCGGUAAUAAACGUGUUCAAUCUCAGGUCAUUUCAAGUUAAAUAAGUGCUUUUUUAACUAUGAUUAUUCAUGUAUAUUAACUUGUAGUCGUCCAUUUUCUACAGUUAAUGACCUGCAACAAUGUUACUUACAAAAAUGGCGUCAACUAGUGAAUCCAUCACGGAACCACCAUAAAAAGGAUGUUGUUGUCAUGCAAAGGGAAGGGAAUGAGAGAAGGUUGUGUUGUUACAACUUGCAAGUGCGGCUAGGAGUGACAGUUUGAGACAAAAGUAUUGUUGCAAGUGCUCCUAAGAGUAAUGCAAGUUAUGUUGGAGUUGCUGCACAUUUGUAUAUAUCUUUUGAUUAGAACUUAGAAGUUUAUGUAUCUAGUAUUUAAAUUUAAAACUUAUGCAUGGGUUUUGGUUUAUUAUUGUUAAUGUCAUUAAAUUUGUUUUUUGGGUUU